AGCGGGCCGGAGCUGACCAACGGGCGGAACGGCGCCGGAGUCGGGCUGCGGACCGGGAUGUGGGCGGUGUGGAGGCGAGGCGGCUCCGGGCUCCUCUUGUUACUGCUGACGGUGCAGGGCGUCCGGUCUGUCAGGCUGAGGGAUGGAUGGCAAGUCUACAGCUCUGCGCAGGACCCUGGUGGACGAUGCAUCUGCACUGUGGUGGCUCCAGAGCAGAACCUGUGCUCCAGAGAUGCACGGACUAAGCAGCUCCAGCAACUCCUGGAGAAGGUGCAGAACAUGUCUCAAUCUAUUGAAGUUCUGAAUCUAAGGACCCAGAGGGACUUCCAGUACGUCUUGAAAAUGGAAAGUCAAAUGAAAGGAAUGAAGGGCCAGUUCCAUCAAAUCGAGGACAAUCGAAAGACAAUGAUGUCGAGGCAUUUCCAGGAGCUGAAGGUGAAGAUGCGUGAGCUCCUGCCACUGAUCCCAGUACUGGAGCAGUACAAGACUGACAGCAAGCUCAUUCUACAGUUCAAGGAGGAGGUGAGGAACCUGUCAGCCAUGCUGACCAGCAUCCAGGAGGAACUGGGUGUGUUUGAUUAUGAGGAGCUGCACCAGAGAGUGUUGAACCUUGAGACCAGGCUCCACGACUGCAUGAAAAAACUCUCAUGUGGCAAACUGAUGAAGAUCAGUCUCCCGAUCACAGUGAAGGCCUCUGGGACCAGGUUCGGGGCAUGGAUGACUGACCCUCUCGCGGCACUGACAGAGGACAAGGUGUGGUACAUGGAUGGCUACACGAGCAGCAAGGUGGUGCGGGAAUACCAAUCCAUGGCAGACUUUGUGAGCGGAGAGGAUUACCGGCUGUUCCGCCUGCCGUAUUCCUGGGCUGGCACCAAUCACCUGGUCUAUAAUGGCUCCCUCUACUUCAAUAAGUAUCAGAGCAACACGUUGGUCAGGUACAACUUCCAGUCAGGAUCCGUGCAGGCCCAGCGUAGCCUGGAGUACGCAGGCUUCAAUAACGUGUACCCGUAUACAUGGGGGGGGUUCUCAGACAUCGACCUGAUGGCCGACGAAGGAGGGGUCUGGGCAGUCUAUGCCACCAAUCAGAAUGCGGGCAACAUCGUGAUCAGCCAGUUGGACAGCCAGUCGCUGGAGGUACAGCGCAGUUGGAACACGGGCUACCCCAAGAGGAGUGCUGGAGAGGCGUUCAUGAUCUGUGGCACUCUGUACGUCACCAACUCACACCUGACUGGUGCCAAGGUCUACUACGCUUACUCCACCAAGACAUCCAACUAUGAGUACAUCGACAUCCCCUUCCAUAACCAGUACUUCCACAUCUCCAUGCUGGACUAUAACGCCAGAGACCGCACGCUGUAUGCCUGGAACAAUGGCCACCAGGUGCUGUUCAACGUCACUCUGUUUCAUGUCAUCCACACCCAGGAAGACAUGGCAUCUCCCAAAGAGCAGUAACUGCCACAAACUUCCCACCUGUCCAAGAUUUGCAAUCCUUCCUUUUCUUGGAGUGAGUUUUUCAUAAAAUAAUGCCGAGGCUUCGAUCUAGGUCUGUGUGUAAAGCGUGUGUAAGUAUAGCUGUGCUACUGGAGGUAAAUCCUAUCCAUCCAUCAUCAUCAACAUGACUGCAGUAACACUCAGAUCAUCCUGCACACUCCAGCUCAGGAGGUGUCUGACAGGCAGAUUCCCCACACUGUUGGAUGUUACCACAACUAAUGCACCAACACACGUUUAAUUCACUCUAUUAGCAAUCACACAGCAUAAUACAUUAUCCGAUCAACACAGUGAGGAUAAAGGGAGGUGAACACAAAAUGCUGGAGUAACUCAGCGGGAGAGGCAGCAUCUCUGGAGAGAAGGAAUGGGUGACGUUCCGUGGUCGAGACUGAAGAAGGGUCUCCACCCGAAACGUCACCCAUUCCUUCUCUCCUGAGAUGCUGCCUGUCCCGCUGAGUUACUUCAGCUUUUUGUGUCUAUCUUCAAAAUAUGCGGUGCUGUUCCUCCAAUUUGUGUGUGGCCCUGGAAAUGGGUUCCGUGAGUUUGAAGGAAGUGUGGGAAAUGGGCCCAGGAUGUGUUUAAAGUUAGCGAGGGAAAGUAUAAAGUGAACAGCUUCAGGGCUGGGCUCUUAGUUGAGUUUCAGUGGGGAAUGAGAAACUGGGUCCUCUUGUGGACAAAGGGAGCAUAGCAUCAAAUGUGAAAUGAGACUAUGAACAGGGCCCCUGUAUGUUCGAGGGGGGAGUGAGAAACAGGACCCCUGUUGCUGAAGGAAAUUCUUGCUAUAGAGGGAGUACAGACAAGGUUCACCAGACUGAUUCCUAGGAUGGCAGGACUUUCAUAUGAAGAAAGACUGGAUAGACCCGGCUUGUACUCGCUAGAAUUUAGAAGAUUGAGGGGGGAUCUUAUAGAAACUUACAACAUUCUUAAGGGGUUGGACAGGCUAGAUGCAGGAAGAUUGUUCCCGAUGUUGGGGAAGUCCAGAACAAGGGGUCACAGUUUAAGGAUAAGGGGGAAAUCUUUUAGGACCGAGAUGAGAAAAGCGGUGACUCUCUGCCACAGUAGGUAGUUGAGGCCAGUUCAUUGGCUAUAUUUAAGAGGGAGUUAGAUGUGGCCCUUGUGGCUAAAGGGAUCAGGGGGUAUGGAGAGAAGGCAGGUACAGGAUACUGAGUUGGAUGAUCAGCCAUGAUCAUAUUGAAUGGCGAAUGGUGCAGGCGCGAAGGGCCGAAUGGCCUCUACUGCACCUAUUUUCUAUGUUUCUAUGUUUCAAGGGGGCCCAGGAGACGACCACGAGAUAACCACCGUGGAGGUAAAGGGAGAGUGCGAAUCAGCACAGUGGAAUAUCUGAAUCUACUGCAAGUGCUUUUGUGAAGUGGACCAUGUCAUGUUUAGUUCAUUCAUCUUUCAUCUAAAAGUUGGAUUGACCCAUUCUGGAGUUUAAAUUGACAAUGUAUAUUGUUAAUGUGCACUUUAAUGGAAUUGGCCGUUUGUGAUGAAUCAGCACUCCAAUGGUUUAGUACAGGCCAUCCAUAAUGAUCCACCCUGGGAUUGGAGUGUUGUAUCAGUACAAGUGGUGAAAGAAAUUGUUAGCGUAUUCCUCAAUGUUUAGGAUGAAGGAUAAUCUUAUUGACAGGACACGGUAGAUGUUGAGAUGCUCAAGGAAGUUUAAGCUACAACUUUGUAAAGCUUUGGUCAGGCCACAAGUGAACGAUUGUGUGCCGUUAUGGUUACCACAUCACAGCAAGGUUGUGAUUGGACUGGAGAUUCACCAGGGAGUUGCAUGAUCACAUUGAAUGGCGGUGCUGGCUGGAAGGGCCGAAUGGCCUACUCCUGCACCUAUCGUCUAUUGUUGCCUGGGAUGGAAAGUUUUGGUGAUGAGGAGAGACGGUGGGGACUGCGUUUGUUUCGCUCAGACUAGAUGAGGCCAUGGAGGAUGGUGAUGAAGGUGGACAGAAUGAUGAGGGGAGAUAAUGAGAAACUUUUUCACCAUGGCGGAGGUAUCUGAAUUUAAAUGGCAUGUUCUUAUGGUAAGGACUAGAAAUAUAGACCAUAGGAGCAAGAGUAGGCCAUUCAGCCCAUUGAGAUGCUCCACCAUUAAUGGCUGAUGGUGCAUACACAGCUCUCUUGCUAUAUCCAUAAUCCCUCAGUCCUAAACUUCCUCAAUAUAUUUCAUGAUUAAAUCCUCACCACUGUCUAAUUAGAGCAAAAUUGGUUUUAAGCGGUUUUCUCCGUAAAAGUGAGACACCAAAGCAGCCAACUUCUAGGACCAUGUGUGUUUCUUUAUAUAAAGCAAUGUUUUUAUAAGAUCGUUGCAGCAAGUACGUGUGUCUGACAAAUGUUUUUUUAACUUUCCUGCUUGCUUAUUGCUUUUUCCAGACCGGACUGAUGUGGUCAAACACUUUUGGUCAAUGUCUGUCUGUGUGUAAAGUGUAAAAAGUUUAUUCAUGUUGAUCAUUUGAAGAAUAUCAUUCUAAAUGUUACACAGACUGGCAUUUCAUUCCAAUGUCGUGUCAAAGCUCAUUCAAUUUUUAAUACAACAUGUCAUUCCUAAUGUGAUUAAUAAAUGUCCUUACUGGAAACAUCAUUUAUCACGUGUUCACUUACAGGCCUGGGUGUCCAGCUCCAGGUCCCUGGGUGUCCAGCUCCAGCUCCAGCUCCAUGGUGUCCAGCUCCAGGUCCCUGGGUGUCCAGCUCCAGCUCCCUGGUGUCCAGCUCCAGGUCCCUGGGUGUCCAGCUCCAGGUCCCUGGGUGUCCAGCUCCAGGUCCCUGGGUGUCCAGCUCCAGGUCCCUGGGUGUCCAGCUCCAGCUCCAGGUCCCUGGGUGUCCAGCUCCAGCUCCAGGUCCCUGGGUGUCCAGCUCCAGCUCCAGGUCCCUGGGUGUCCAGCUCCAGCUCCAGGUCCCUGGGGGCCCAGCUCCAGCUCCAGGUCCCUGGGUGUCCAGCUCCAGCUCCAG